rnacentral:rRNA from 1 species
UACGUAGGUGGCGAGCGUUGUCCGGAUUUACUGGGCGUAAAGGGCGUGCAGGCGGUUUGUUAAGUGCAGGGUGAAAGCUCCCGGCUCAACUGGGAGAGGUCCUUGCAUACUGGCGAACUCGAGGGAGGCAGAGGAAAGGUGGAACUCCUGGUGUAGCGGUGGAAUGCGCAGAUAUCAGGAAGAACACCAACGGCGAAGGCAGCUCGCUAGGGCGGUACUGACGCUGAGACGCGAAAGCGUGGGGAGCGAACAGG